GGAAGUAAAAAAAUCGUAACAAGGUCUCCGUKGGUKAACCAGCGGAGGGAUCAUUACAGAGUUAUCCAACUCCCAAACCCAUGUGAACUUAUCUCUUUGUUGCCUCGGCGCAAGCUACCCGGGACCUCGCGCCCCGGGCGGCCCGCCGGCGGACAAACCAAAACUCUUGUUAUCUUAGUUGAUUAUCUGAGUGUCUUAUUUAAUAAGUCAAAACUUUCAACAACGGAUCUCUUGGUUCUGGCAUCGAUGAAGAACGCAGCGAAAUGCGAUAAGUAAUGUGAAUUGCAGAAUUCAGUGAAUCAUCGAAUCUUUGAACGCACAUUGCGCCCAUUAGUAUUCUAGUGGGCAUGCCUGUUCGAGCGUCAUUUCAACCCCUAAGCACAGCUUAUUGUUGGGAACCUACGGCUUCGUAGUUCCUCAAAGACAUUGGCGGAGUGGCAGUGGUCCUCUGAGCGUAGUAAUCUUUUAUCUCGCUUCUGUUAGGUGCUGCCCCCCCGGCCGUAAAACCCCCAAAUUUUUCUGGUUGACCUCGGAUCAGGUAGGAAURCCCGCWGWACUUAAGCAUAUCAAUAAGCGGAGGAAAUAC
rnacentral:rRNA from 1 species